UACGGAGGGGGCUAGCGUUGUUCGGAAUUACUGGGCGUAAAGAGCGUGUAGGCGGCCCGGUAAGUCCGCUGUGAAAGUCCAGGGCUCAACCCUGGGAUGCCGGUGGAUACUGUCGGGCUCGAGUCCGGAAGAGGAGUGUGGAAUUCCGUGGUGUAGCGGUGAAAUUCGUAGAUAUUAGGAAGAACACCAGUGGCGAAGGCGGCUCACUGGUCCCGGUACUGACGCUGAGG
rnacentral:rRNA from 1 species